GAUGAAGAACGUAGCGAAAUGCGAUAAGUAGUGUGAAUUGCAGAAUUCAGUGAAUCAUCGAAUCUUUGAACGCACAUUGCGCCCCUUGGUAUUCCAUGGGGCAUGCCUGUUCGAGCGUCAUUUGUACCUUCAAGCUCUGCUUGGUGUUGGGUGUUUGUCUCGCCUCUGCGUGUAGACUCGCCUCAAAACAAUUGGCAGCCGGCGUAUUGAUUUCGGAGCGCAGUACAUCUCGCGCUUUGCACUCAUAACGACGACGUCCAAAAGUACAUUUUUACACUCUUGACCUCGGAUCAGGUAGGGAUACCCGCUGAAUUUAAGCAUAUCAAUAAGCGGAGGG
rnacentral:misc_RNA from 1 species